ACCACAGCGGACAAUUAAAGUUUCCUUUGCAGUGUUUGCACUGUAAGCGGGGUGCAGCCUGUCUGCAGGGGCCCCACCGCCAGAGGGAAGCCCCAACCUCAUCGAGCUUCUUUUUCUUCUUGAUCCCAGGCCUCAUCAGGGUCACCAGCAAGAUCACCUCCACUUCAGGUCAGCUGAGAGAGCCUGGACGCAACAAUACACCAGGACCACCAAGCACACGUAGCACCCGGAUCUGCGUUUCUAACACCACUCCCCACUAAAAGGAACCACAGCUCCUUGGAGAAACGGUGGAGUCUACGGACACUGAGGAGCAGGGGGCUGGGUCUAAGUCGCAGAUGAGAGGAGGGAAGCACAAAGAUACUGACAGACUGAAUGUGCACGCGGAGUUGGAGACAGUUGGAUGAAUUUCAUUAUUUCCAUAAUGCCCACUGAAAAUGCCACGAAGGAUCACAACCUAAAUGAAACCAAAGCAAAAGCAGCAGAAUGGUACAUGUAAUGGUUAGACGCAGCACUGAACCUGAAGGCAUGUAACACACACAGCUAAAGACUGUGAAUUGGUUCCGCAGCAUUCUCCUGUAGGUGGGCAACUACACAAAAUAGUAUUAUUAUGAAAUGACAGAUCUGAAAGCAUCUGAUGUCUCUCUUCAGCUGUAGCCCCAGGUCUACGUUGGAGACAUUGCGGGUUCGGUUCCAGACCAACACAGCAA